rnacentral:lncRNA from 1 species
CAAGAUAAGUAGAAGGCAUACUUGUCUAAUUUAAGGGAACAAAGUGGAUGUGUGACCUGAGCCAUUACAAAGUACAGUUGUUUGAGGCAUCCUGCUUUAGGAGCCUGGGAAGGAGAAGGAAAUCAGCUUUAUUGAGAAGCUUUUUGGAGGUUCUGCUGUUUGGAGUAGAAACACAGGACUGGACGAAGUCUUCAGAAGUGCUUAACGUCUAAGGAGGCCCUCAGCUUUCAUCGUACUGUGGUUCGACCAUGAAGUGUGUCUGUAACCAGCUAAUGAGCUGCAACAGAGCCUGGCCUUCAUUUUCAGCAAAUUAAGUUCAUCCCUCAUAGGAAUUGUGGUCUGGCUGUGGCACCGCUCCUAGGUAUGGGUGGGAUUUGUUUCUUCUACCGGUUGUAGGUUAGCCACAUGGGUACGUGCUGUCGCACCACACAACAGAAUUUUCUCUAUAAUAACCAGUCUAAGUAGCCUUUUACCCCACAAAAGUAGAUCCCAUUUAAUUUACUUUGUGUUUAUAGCACUC